UACAAAGUAAUUAAUUUUUGAUUUUGUGGACAAUGUGUGACAAAUGUUCAAAUAUCUGAUAGGUUUUUGGUGAUUGAGAAGGUUCAGUGAUUAGAGGAUUCUAUGUUGAAAGGCGGUUGUGGCGUCACGAUUCCUUUCUUUCGAAACGAUUAUCUCCCUUAUUUCUCAUCGUAGAAAAUUUUGAAAAAAACUUUCUGGUAGAACGAACAUCAUUUUCAACUUCUGUUAAAACAUAAAACAGGUAAAACAAUCUCUCGACGAAGUUAAUUGCCGUACACGGCCCGAUGUUGGUCCAAAUGUUGCGACUAAUUGGCUCCCAAGGGAUUUCACGUCGAGCUUUGACGACACGGCCGGAAUAAGGAGAGCGGGCGGAGGAAGUAAACGCUUGUUGCGGAAAUUUGGGAAAUGAGUUCAAAAGCCACCAAAGAAAUUAACUCUUAAACCGCGCAAACUGCGAGAUGUUAAUAAUUAUUUAUUUCCAGGUAAAUUAAUUUGAAUUGGUUGUGUUAACAACUGAGCCCUGUAAAAUGGAUACACACAAGAUUUAUUUUUAAUUUUUUGGUCAAUGCUUUUUAUUAAAAAAUUAAAAGUAUCGUGAAGGAGAGAUAAACACUCAAAAAAUAUAUA